rnacentral:rRNA from 1 species
AGUUAAAGAAUGUGCCCACGUGCCCGAUCGCGUCUGAUCUUGGAAGCUAAGCAGGGUCGGGCCUGGUUAGUACUUGGAUGGGAGAGUGCCUAGGAAUGCCAGGUGCUGUAGGUG